rnacentral:rRNA from 1 species
ACACUCCUGCGGGAGGCAGCAGUGGGGAAUUUUGGACAAUGGGCGAAAGCCUGAUCCAGCAAUGCCGCGUGAGUGAAGAAGGCCUUCGGGUUGUAAAGCUCUUUUGUCAGGGAAGAAACGGUGAAAGCUAAUAUCUUUUGCUAAUGACGGUACCUGAAGAAUAAGCACCGGCUAACUACGUGCCAGCAGCCGCGGUAAUACGUAGGGUGCAAGCGUUAAUCGGAAUUACUGGGCGUAAAGCGUGCGCAGGCGGUUUUGUAAGUCUGAUGUGAAAUCCCCGGGCUCAACCUGGGAAUUGCAUUGGAGACUGCAAGGCUAGAAUCUGGCAGAGGGGGGUAGAAUUCCACGUGUAGCAGUGAAAUGCGUAGAUAUGUGGAGGAACACCGAUGGCGAAGGCAGCCCCCUGGGUCAAGAUUGACGCUCAUGCACGAAAGCGUGGGGAGCAAACGGGAUUAGAAACCCGAGUAGUCCCAUGAU